rnacentral:rRNA from 1 species
UACGUAGGGGACAAGCGUUGUUCGGAAUUACUGGGCGUAAAGGGCUCGUAGGCGGCCAACUACGUCAUACGUGAAAUCCCUCGGCUUAACCGGGGAACUGCGUCUGAUACUGGAUGGCUUGAGUUCGGGAGAGGGAUGCGGAAUUCCAGGUGUAGCGGUGAAAUGCGUAGAUAUCUGGAGGAACACCGGUGGCGAAGGCGGCAUCCUGGACCGAUACUGACGCUGAGGAGCGAAAGCCAGGGGAGCAAACGGG